UGCGUAGGUGGCAGAUCAAGUCUGGAGUAAAAGGUAUGGGCUCAACCCGUACUGGCUCUGGAAACUGAUCAGCUAGAGAACAGAAGAGGACGGCGGAACUCCAUGUGUAGCGGUAAAAUGCGUAGAUAUAUGGAAGAACACCGGUGGCGAAGGCGGCCGUCUGGUCUGGAUUCUGACACUGAAGCACGAAAGCGUGGGGAGCGAACA
rnacentral:rRNA from 1 species